AACGAACGCUGGCGGCAGGCUUAACACAUGCAAGUCGAACGCAUCCUUCGGGGUGAGUGGCAGACGGGUGAGUAACGCGUGGGAACGUGCCCUUCAGUUCGGGAUAACCCAGGGAAACUUGGGCUAAUACCGGAUACGUGCGAGAGCAGAAAGAUUUAUCGCUGAAGGAUCGGCCCGCGUCUGAUUAGCUAGUUGGUGGGGUAAUGGCCCACCAAGGCGACGAUCAGUAGCUGGUCUGAGAGGAUGAUCAGCCACAUUGGGGCUGAGACACGGCCCAAACUCCUAUGGGAGGCAGCAGUGGGGAAUAUUGGACAAUGGGCGCAAGCCUGAUCCAGCCAUGCCGCGUGAGUGAUGAAGGCCUUAGGGUUGUAAAGCUCUUUCGUCCGGGACGAUAAUGACGGUACCGGAAGAAGAAGCCCCGGCUAACUUCGUGCCAGCCGCCGCAGUAA
rnacentral:rRNA from 1 species